AUCUGUAGAUCUCCAGUUUCCUUUCACUAUGAACAAAGUAAGUUCAUCGUUAAAUUCACCUUACGCUCUCAUGACAUGACAUGGAUUUGUGCUAGAAACAAAACACGCCGCUGAAGGACGCGGCCAUGUUGGAACCGGUCGCGGGUUGAUGACGUCACGCACCAACAGUGCGGCGUCUAUUCUGUCCUGGUUGGAGGAAGUGUACAUCUGCGAUAGGAACCAAACCUGAUGAUGGUUCCCUCUGGUGAAAGUACCAGCCACACACACACACACACACACACACACACACACAGAUCUGUAACAGCAACAGAAUUGAACUUCCUCAACCCACACAUCCACUAGUGAUUCCCAUUUAUCUUUGGCAGGAAUCGUGGAGAUAUUUGAGGAGACCGGAGAGCGCUGCUGAUUCCAGAAACGUGAAAGUCGUCUGAACUUUUGCUUUUUCAGAUCGAAGCAUUAUUGAAGACAGGUUUUAUUUUCUACACUGUUUCUAACAUCGAGAUGAAAAAUAAUGCAGAAACAUUCAUUCAUGAACGUUCAAAAAGCAACUGAAUGACAAAUCGGCACAAUAGGAAAACUCUCUCUCUCUCUCUCUCUCUCUCUCUCUCUCUCUCUCUCUCUCUCUCUCUCUCUCUCUUUCUCUCUUUUUUCCUGCACCUUAAAGCAGCUGUAGUGUUAAAAGUUUCUGGGCCUGGUUUAAAUUAUUCAGUUUCCUGUCAAACUCUCGAGAUUGAAACCCUAGAUGUUGAGGAAAUACCCGGAGCAGAAUUAUACAUCAAGUUACCCUUUUCACCCCCGGGGUCUCUCUUCUUCUCUCUUCUUCCUCUUUUGCUUUUGUUCUUUUUUCCUUCAAAUCCUUUAUCUCCAUCUAUGGCUGUGGAUCUGGACCAGGUCCAGGAUGGCUCUCUGAUUCAUUGCGCGUCUCCACGUAAACAUUCGGGUCGGACGGAAUCCCCCUCAGGGCAACUCGAACACAUACAAUAGACGUUAGCAUGAAUUGAAGUGCAAGCGUAUGGAAGCUAAACCUAUGGCCUGUGUAUUAGCAUGAGUAAUAACGCUCUGGCUUUAAUGAAAUUAAGGGAAUGUGACUUUUUGGAGAUUUCGAACACACUGGUUGGAUGGUUAGAGAAUAUUCUUUCCAUUUCUUUUCUUAUUAAUUAUAUUAAAUAUUUGUGUGAUUUGCACUUUGCAAGUUAAAAUAGUUAUUGGCACAAUUGAUGCUAGCAAAAUAAAAUAUUCAAGUCUGCUAAUCCACAAACUUUUGCACU